GUUAACGAUCGAUUUCGAGACGUCAACAACAGACGGACGAUCAGCUGACAGCUCUGUGCCUGUGCGAGAUCUCCUUCGAAAUUAUCAAAGAUGCAAGAGUAUAUGCCCCAUAUGCAUGACCUGGAAGAAUGAGAAGCGUGGGAAGAACUUGAUGCAGCCAGAAGGAACAGGAGGUUCAAGAAACGACGGGAACUUUUUGAUCAUUAUUGUGAGGAGGAAUUCACUCAACGCGACUGCCUCAGCAAGGAUAUUGCCAGAGAUCUGCUGAGGAGAAUUUCACACCGUUUGCCAAAUUCCAGGAAUAGAGGAGGGGAAAAUAUGGGAAGUGGAGCGAAGAAGACGUUAUGGAGAACAGAAGAAAGAGAA